UUAUUUUAGCGGCGGACGGGUGAGUAACGUGUGGGUAACCUGCCUUUUACUGGGGAAUAAUCACUGGAAACGGUGACUAAUACCGCAUACGGUUCUUGGAAGGCAUCUUCUAGGAAAGAAAGGAUUUAUUCGGUAAAAGAUGGGGCCCGCAUCUGAUUAGCUAGUUGGUGAGAUAACAGCCCACCAAGGCGACGAUCAGUAGCCGACCUGAGAGGGUGACCGGCCACAUUGGGACUGAGACACGGCCCAAACUCCUACGGAAGGCAGCAG
rnacentral:rRNA from 1 species